rnacentral:rRNA from 1 species
CCGCCGGCGACCGGCGCACGGGUGAGUAACACGUAUGCAACCUGGCCGUGACAGAUGGAUAACCGGGAGAAAUCCCGCCUAAUACAACAUAAUGCCGGGAGGGGACAUCCCCUGCCGGUCAAAGGGGGCGACCCCGGUCACGGAUGGGCAUGCGGCGCAUUAGGUAGUUGGUGGGGCAACGGCCCACCAAGCCGACGAUGCGUAGGGGUUCUGAGAGGAAGGUCCCCCACACUGGUACUGAGACACGGACCAGACUCCUACGGGAGGCAGCAG